rnacentral:rRNA from 1 species
UACGGAGGGGACUAGCGUUGUUCGGAAUUACUGGGCGUAAAGCGCACGUAGGCGGAUUUGUAAGUCAGGGGUGAAAUCCCGGGGCUCACCUCGGAACUGCCUUUGAUACUGCAAAUCUCGAGUCCGGAAGAGUGAGUGGAAUUCCUAGUGUAGAGGUGAAAUUCGUAGAUAUUAGGAAGAACACCAGUGGCGAAGGCGGCUCACUGGUCCGGUACUGACGCUGAGGUGCGAAAGCGUGGGGAGCAAACAGG